UCCUUCAGUUCUCACAACCACCUCAAGAACUAGCUGCUGGUCUCAUCAGCCACCUGUGAGGAAUGAGGACGGCAGGGCAGCUGCUGAGUCCACACCACCUCAUGUGACCUGCUGGUCAGCUGGAGAUGCCACAGGAACAUGACUCAUCGAGGGGUAAGGACAAGAAAUCGGGCACACGGAAGAAACUGCCAGAGGAGGCCGGUAGCUCCCAGGCGCCUGCCUGGUGUGGCCAGUCCCUGCAGGGCCCCUAGGAGCUGGCAGCGCGACAGGAUAAAUCAGGCCAGCCAUCGCACCUUACAUGGCCGUCCCCAAGGCUGCCCGGAAUCCCUGGGAUUACGCAGACUUGCGGAAGAUUUGGAGCAAGUGCACAAUCACCUGCCGCCCCCACAAGUGUGCCCGGGCUUCUGCAACCCCCGUCUUGUGACCGAGGAAUUUUUAAAUGGAAGCUCUGAGCUCACGGAGAAGAAAAUGUCUCCCUGAUGUCACACAGUUGCUGCCAAUUCAUCAGCGCAAGCUAAAGGUCAGAGAGAGGGAAGCCACGGCUCCAGGGUCCCUCGGCUGCUCCCUCGGCUGGGGCUUCCCUUCCAGCAGGCUUGCCGCCAGCCACCCGGGGCCAGCCCCGGGGAAGCCAAGCUGAGGGCUGUUUGCAUUUCCAGGACACGCACAGAGGCAGUGCUGACUCCACUCGCUGCUUCUGCACUUCCUUUCUCAGACAUUAACCACUUCGUCCUCCCAGCCCUCUCCUGCCACCAGGCUUCUCUGUAGACAGUUUACCUCGUAACAUCAGUACAAUGCUGUCCCGAGGAUCUUUCCCCGGGAUCACUGCAGGGGUAAAACCAAAUUGCACAGAGGUUCUUUUGGUAUUUCAGCAACUAAAUUCAAUGGUCAAAGAGCAGAGACGAGUCCCACAGUGACAAGCUUGGCUCCACUGCUUCCUGGCAGUGUGAUAUUUCCAAGUUAUUUAACCUCCUGGAGCCAUCUUCCUGACCUAGAAGAUGAGGAUCCUAAGAAUAAUUACCUCAUGGUAUUUGAGGAUUCACUAUGAAGCAUGGGUACAGACCCUGGAGUGUAGUGAAUGCUCAAUAAAUGUCAGCUUGGAACCAACCCUCACAGCUUUAACUGGACACAUAAUUUCCUUAUUUGUCCAAUGGGGAUAGGCUGAUGUGUGAUUGACAGAGUCGCUGUGAGGAUUCAGUGAGAACGAAGAGAAAGCAAUUAACACAGCACCUAGCACGGGACAAAUAAAUGGUGACUACUGGGACUAUUGUCUCCAUCAAUCAAAGUGUGAUCUAUAGGGAAGACUCAGCGUAUUCAUUAAUACAACACCUUCUCGGAGCCUGACACAGUCCUUGGGUUC